GAUGAACGCUGGCGGCGUGCCUAAUACAUGCAAGUCGAGCGAACGGACGAGAAGCUUGCUUCUCUGAUGUUAGCGGCGGACGGGUGAGUAACACGUGGAUAACCCACCUAUAAGACUGGGAUAACUUCGGGAAACCGGAGCUAAUACCGGAUAAUAUUUUGAACCGCAUGGUUCAAAAGUGAAAGACGGUCUUGCUGUCACUUAUAGAUGGAUCCGCGCUGCAUUAGCUAGUUGGUAAGGUAACGGCUUACCAAGGCAACGAUGCCUAGCCGACCUGAGAGGGUGAUCGGCCACACUGGAACUGAGACACGGUCCAGACUCCUACGGGAGGCAGCAGUAGGGAAUCUUCCGCAAUGGGCGAAAGCCUGACGGAGCAACGCCGCGUGAGUGAUGAAGGUCUUCGGAUCGUAAAACUCUGUUAUUAGGGAAGAACAGAUGUGGAAGUAACUGUGCACAUCUUGACGGUACCUAAUCAGAAAGCCCCGGCUAACUACGUG
rnacentral:rRNA from 1 species